AACGAACGCUGGCGGUAUGCUUAACACAUGCAAGUCGAACGGGCUUAGGGGCAACUCUAAGCUAGUGGCAAACGGGUGAGUAAUGCAGAGGAAUCUUCCUAGCAGUAAGGAAUAAUUUUGGGAAACCAAAACUAAUACCAUAUAUCACCGACCUAGUCGGGAAAGAUUUAUCGCCGUUAGAUGAGCCUCUGUCAGAUUAGCUAGUUGGUGAGGUAAUGGCUCACCAAGGCGACGAUCUGUAGCUGGUCUG
rnacentral:rRNA from 1 species